GUGCUCACUUCGGCAACACAUAUACUAAAAUUAGAACAAUACAGAGAAGAUUAGCAUGGCCCCUGUGCAAGGAUGACACACAAAUUCAUGAAGCGUUCCAUAUUUUU
rnacentral:snRNA from 1 species